CGUAGGGUGCAAGCGUUGUCCGGAUUUACUGGGCGUAAAGCGCGCGUAGGCGGUCUGUUAAGUGCACGAGUGAAAGCUCCGGGCUCAACCCGGAAAUUGCUCUGCAUACUGGCAGGCUGGAGGGACGCAGAGGUCUGUGGAAUUCCUGGUGUAACGGUGAAAUGUGUUGAUAUCAGGAGGAACACCCAUGGCGAAGGCAGCAGACUGGGCGUUUCCUGACGCUGAGGCGCGAAAGCGUGGGUAGCAAACAGGAUUAGAUACCCUGGUAGUCCACGCCCUAAACGAUGGAUACUAGGCGUAGGAGGUAUCGACCCCUCCUGUGCCGCAGCAAACGCAUUAAGUAUCCCGCCUGGGGAGUACGGCCGCAAGGUUG
rnacentral:rRNA from 1 species